ACUAGAGGGCGCUGUCUCAAAAAGACCUCAAUGCCAGAGCAUAAAUGUGCCUUCCUAUUAUUACAGAAGGCAAAAAGUAGUAGAACAACGAAACAAACUAUUGAGGUACAAGAAGAAAACAUUACCAACAGACCCACAUACCUCUCCUCUUCAGUAAAGCCUCAUUUUCACUCCAUGGUGUCGUCCAUUUAAGGAAAAGGUCUUUGGAGUUUGAUAGUUUCGUUCAAACCAGGGAGGUUCCAGUAGAUUCUUUGAUAGUUGAGUUGAGGUUGAACCAGAAUUCAGCAUUUACAGCAUUGCAGCCUGUACAAACCCCUCCUACCUGUCUGUCUCAGCCCCGCCCUCUCAGUACAAGGCUUAGAGAGGAUCCCUAAGAGUCAGAGAGAUAGCGAAUAAAUUAAAGAAAAGAAGAAAUGAAAUCAGCCACAAAGAAAAGACUCAUCGUUGUUAAAGGCUGUCCCAGAAAAGUGCAGAAAAACUAUGGAAACAACAUAAGCUACUUAAGAGGAGAGGAGCUAGUCAGAACAAAGAAAAACUGGCUCAGUUAUUUGGAGAUGGUUUGGGUUUAAAAUUUCAGACAAGGAGCAGAACAAUGUUUUCUGUAGAGAGUGACAAAAACCUUGCAACAAAAGGUUUGAGCACAACAAAGCUCUUCCACCAUUUACAACAGCGGCACAAAGUGCAGGACGAAGAACAUCCAAAACUCUGUGCUGUGACACAGGACCCAAAGCCUCUGCAGCUGAGACAGCCAUCACUGCAAGCUUCAUGAAGCAGUGCAGUCCCAUGACCAAAACGGGAAAAAGUGGCUGUGUGAAACUGUGGCCAACCAUACUGCUAAAGACCUGGUCCCUGUUACAAUUGUGGAGCAGGACGGGUUUAUAAAGCUUUUUCUACAAUUUCCCAUGGAAACAAAGGUUUCAAUGAAGAUGUUGGACACAGACUAGGGGUGUUGGUGGGAAAUAACAAUCAGGGACUUUUAAGCAGGUUAGAAUGUCUCUGGUGAGUAUAUUGGGCACAAAUUUGGCAGUGGUGUUAUUUAAAGGAACAAAACUUUACACAUCAGGAGUAGCAAUCUAUAAAUACAAGCAGGUAUGUGUGUCUCAUAGAGCUUUUUGUAAAUUGAUUCCACUAAGUUUAAUCUAACCAUCUCCCAUGGUUGUUGCGUGAUUGUAUUUUAUGUUUCCCUGCCAGUUUCCUGACAACUGGUUUGUUUUGAGAUUCUUACUUGCUCAGUACGCCAAUGACAACAUGUAUUUAUAGGUUUUAUAUUUACCAAGGCAAUCUGUCAGUGGGUUUUCGUGUCAAUAGAGAAAAACACGUUGAUGGCAGGACUCAGUAAGGUGUAGCUUUAAAAGGACUUUUUUUGCACUGUAAACCAGACCUUUCUAUGAUGGUGCGCUUGGUUGAUGCUGUGACAACUACCCCUCCCUCCUUUUGGACAUGCUGGCACAGUUUCUGGAUGAGACUGUUCUGUUGGGAUUUCCAUUUGAACUCAUCAGACAUGACGAGGUCUUUAACUAAAGUUAAGGUUCUUUGUGUUGCCAGCACUAAUUGGUCAGAGUUCAGAUGUCUCACCUUGGGCUCAUGUUAGAGCAUCUAGCUGGAAAGGGUAUUCUUGCUUUUUCCUGUAAUUGGGAAUUUCUGCAUCCAAAGGGCAGAGUGUCUCACGUAUGUGUUGGGUUUUAGGUUGUUGAAUACCCAACAGGGAUGGACAAUGUUGGAUUUUUGCAGACAUCUGAUAUGGUGAUACUUAAAAAUCAAUUUUGUCCAAAAUCAAUCCUGAUAUUUAAAUGGAAUUCAGAUUAUCAUUAUCAUUCAGAAGGUAUUAUCAUGAUAUGACUGACUUGAAUCUCCAAUUUGGCUUUUUGGUGUCAUUCGUGGUUGCUGUGAUACCAGAAUUGUAGACUUUGAUAUGAAAGUAGCAAAAAUCAAGUAGCAAAAGAAAAGAGAGUAGCAGAAAUCAAAUUAUAUUGAUAUCACUACCAUGGUAGAAAUAGAAAUCUCAACCCCCCUUGUUAUUGAUAAGAAAAAUUGCAAGCGCCCUUGCACACUGGGACUUAACCAAUUUUUGUACAAUUUUAAUUGUGCAUAGGUGUUUACCUGCAUUUUUUUGGUAGAUUGCUUCCCAGCCUUGCUUUUUUUAAUUUAUGAGCUAGUUUUUGUUUUGUUUAUUUAAGUUUAUGCAAUUUACAAAAUCAUGCAACCGGAAGUUAACAGAUUGUGUCAUUUUAAACUCCUGGCACAAAAAAGAAAUCAAGUAACAUUUUGACAACAGCAUUGGAAUUUAAUUUUUUCAUCUGUCAGCUACUUUGGCUGGUUUUACAGUAGUAGUCCAAACUGUUCUUUUUUUUCUAUUUCCUUUUUUUUUUUUUUUUUUUUUUUACCAGUUUCUCCAUGACACAUUUGCUGUGCCUCCUGCAGGAGUGCUGUAAAUUCAUAGGCAUAUUCCUUCAUCAUAAGUUUAAAAAGGAACAUCAUAUGCAAAUGAUAGAAAAAAGUAAUGUGAAUGAUGUUUCUGCAUUUAAAAUUUUUCUUAUGAAUUAGAGCAGUAUGAAUCCAUACUGUUGCUUGUAAAGGAUGUUAUUUUCAUUUCAUUUUUUUCCUUAUUUUCAUAUUUAAUUAGCAGGUAUAGACAAGCUUUUCAAAUACUUUAGAAAAUAAUGGAAUUAGAGAUAUUUUCCUAUAAUUGGAAAAAGAGAUGGAUAAUUUGCCUUGAAAACUGGAAUGAUUGUAAACCAUUUUAACUGAUCAGGAAAAUCCAGUUUUGAGAGAGAGACUGACAAUAUGAAGAAGUUGUUUGGGGAUGUAUGGAAGGCAUUUUUUUAAGGAUUGAGGAUCUUAACUCAUAGAAUGAACAAAAAAACUUCUCACUCACUGCAAGGCUUCCUGCAGUGUGAGAGAUGUUUUUUUGUUCAUCCUUUGUCUCAUUUUCAGCUCUGCACCUGCCCACUUUGGUUGGAUGUGCAUGUUAGACUUUUCUCUUACUCUUAAUUUAUCAUAGCCUGGUGCAGUUGCAGCCUCCCUGAUGGCAGAAAAUACAAAUGAAGAGGAGGAUCUCUUAAUGUCAGAGAUGGACAUAGAGGUCUGUGGUAUUUUGUCUGUGAGUGAUGGACCAAUAUUUCCAAAGUAGUCAUUAAAUUAAUUUGCUAUUUCAAAAGAAUCUGAAAUUAUUUUGUCAUCUCCUUGAAUUCACUGUGAACUUUGGUGUGAUCGCAGCUGUUAUUUAAAAUUUCAUUAAUGAUCUUCUGUCUACUUUUCAUAUCUUUCUGAACAUCAGGAAAAUUCUUCUCAUAGAAUUUUUGACGGAGUUGUGACAUAAGCAAGCAGCAACAAGAGGUUGGUACAAUUAUGGCGGAAGACAUUAGCGUGGAUGCUGCUAAGGUGUAAGUUCUAUCAGAAUUUGAUGACAUGUCUUCAUUAAAAGAAGAACAGAGAACAGCAUUGAGUUCUUUUCUUUGCAAAAACGACAAAAGUCAUGUACUGACAUGUCUACAG